GACGAACGCUGGCGGCGUGCUUAACACAUGCAAGUCGAACGGAAAGGCCCUGCUUGCAGGGUCCUCGAGUGGCGAACGGGUGAGUAACACGUGGGUGAUCUGCCCUGCACUUCGGGAUAAGCUUGGGAAACUGGGUCUAAUACCGGAUAGGAGCCAUCUUUAGUGUGGUGGUUGGAAAGUUUUUUCGGUGUAGGAUGAGCUCGCGGCCUAUCAGCUUGUUGGUGGGGUAAUGGCCUACCAAGGCGGCGACGGGUAGCCGGCCUGAGAGGGUGUACGGCCACAUUGGGACUGAGAUACGACCCAGACUCCUACGGGAGGCAGCAGUGGGGAAUAUUGCACAAUGGGCGCAAGCCUGAUGCAGCGACGCCGCGUGGGGGAUGAAGGCCUUCGGGUUGUAAACUCCUUUCGCUAGGGACGAAGCUUUUUUGUGACGGUACCUAGAUAAGAAGCACCGGCUAACUACGUGC
rnacentral:rRNA from 1 species